UGAGGAAUAUUGGACAAUGGGCGCAAGCCUGAUCCAGCCAUGCCGCGUGCAGGAAGAAGCAUCUAUGGUGUGUAAACUGCUUUUGUACGGGAAGAAACACUCCUACGUGUAGGAGCUUGACGGUACCGUAAGAAUAAGGAUCGGCUAACUCCGUGCCAGCAGCCGCGGUAGUACGGAGGAUCCAAGCGUUAUCCGGAAUCAUUGGGUUUAAAGGGUCCGUAGGCGGUUUAAUAAGUCAGUGGUGAAAGCCCAUCGCUCAACGAUGGAACGGCCAUUGAUACUGCUAGACUUGAAUUACAAGGAAGUAGCUAGAAUAUGUAGUGUAGCGGUGAAAUGCUUAGAUAUUACAUGGAAUACCAAUUGCGAAGGCAGGUUACUACUUGUGGAUUGACGCUGAUGGACGAAAGCGUGGGGAGCGAACA
rnacentral:rRNA from 1 species